rnacentral:rRNA from 1 species
GAGGAACGCUGGCGGCGUGCUUAACACAUGCAAGUCGAACGAUGAAGCCCAGCUUGCUGGGUGGAUUAGUGGCGAACGGGUGAGUAACACGUGAGUAACCUGCCCUUAACUCUGGGAUAAGCCUGGGAAACUGGGUCUAAUACCGGAUAGGAGCGACCACCGCAUGGUGGGUGUUGGAAAGAUUUAUCGGUUUUGGAUGGACUCGCGGCCUAUCAGCUUGUUGGUGAGGUAAUGGCUCACCAAGGCGACGACGGGUAGCCGGCCUGAGAGGGUGACCGGCCACACUGGGACUGAGACACGGCCCAGACUCCUACGGGAGGCAGCAGUGGGGAAUAUUGCACAAUGGGCGCAAGCCUGAUGCAGCGACGCCGCGUGAGGGAUGACGGCCUUCGGGUUGUAAACCUCUUUCAGUAGGGAAGAAGCGAAAGUGACGGUACCUGCAGAAGAAGCACCGGCUAACUACGUG